UACGGAGGGGGGCUAGCGUUGUUCGGAAUUACUGGGCGUAAAGCGCGCGUAGGCGGCUUUGUAAGUUAGAGGUGAAAGCCCCGGGGCUUAACUCCGGAACUGCCUUAAGACUGCAUCGCUAGAAUUGUGGAGAGGUGAGUGGAAUUCCGAGUGUAGAGGUGAAAUUCGUAGAUAUUCGGAGGAACACCAGUGGCGAAGGCGGCUCACUCGGU
rnacentral:rRNA from 1 species